GACACCAAGACUUACUGACUGACCGGACGUCAGUCGCAAUGUGACUUUGACAGCAAGAAUACAGUCUUCGGGAUAGCCGUCGCCGAAUACUGUUGGAACGUAGUCGCCAUACGAUACAGACAGAAGACAGGUGAGAUCCAGCCACGGCCAAGGAGAGACGUCUCAUUGAAGUAUUAGGCCAGAAGUCAAGUGGGUCAAGUGACACUGCAAGUGAUGAUAAUUGUGCCUCUGAUAGAUGUCAGCACAAAAUGAACAUGAUAGAUAUACGAGUAAUCUCUGAUCGAUAACAGAUGGUCACAACACUCUUAGGGGAAGGGGGGAAACAAAGGAUCUCCUGCCAUCUCUACGUAGACGGACCGAACUAGAUAGUAAGAACCAAUCAUAAUUCAACUACUGCAAUUUAUCGAAUCGCAUUUGUGUGGCCCAAUCCCAGUACACCUUUUGCAAUAGAUAGGCAGUUGGUGGCGUCUGGCCGUUGAUCCUGUUGGUAUUAGUACGUACUUGUUUAAAAGUGAAGUUUGUUAGUUGCGGAUGAUUGGUAACUAUGAAAUUUGAUUUGAUGUAGUGAAUCAAGAGCUGACGUUUACUGUUUAAGUUACAUCGCCAUGUUAUUUCUACUUAUGAAAUUAAGUUAGAAACAUCUUUUGAAGUAGAAUAGAGAAGGUCUGUGGAAUCUCGAAACUCACCGUGUGCUAUGAUUGUGUUAUAAUAUCUGUAUUGUUUCUUGCAGGAUAAAUGGGAAAAAAAAUAAAUUUUGCGCCGCCCCAGGGUGCUCGUCAUGCAGUAGGCAGACAGGGCUAUGGUAUGUGCAAGAAGAGUUGGGAUAACCUGUACUAUAAAUUUUUGUGCAGUAGAAGUGAUUUCACUACAGCUGAACAGAUUCACAGUUCCAUAGCUCAGAUUCUGCAGGACAAUCACUCCCACAACCUCCUGAUCCUUCGUUACACACCAUUUCAGGAGGGUGCUGCAGUGAAUACCUGGCAAUAGCUGGGUUUAUUGAGGAGGUUGACAAACUCUUUGAGAGUUUAAAUGGUGGAAUGCCUGUUGUCUCUGGAAAGCACUAAGCGAUAACAGGAUUCAGUGUGGGUUGUGGAGAACACAAGGCCACUUAUAGAGGGCCUCAUUCUGGAGAGGUCUUGUGGGGUCCUGCUGAAUUUUAUUUUCCACAAGAUAGUGCACAAAAGGAACUUCAUAUCUUCCCAGUGCCAUGCAUCAGUUAUACACCCCUCUUCUUUAGCUUCAUUUUCACAUUCAUCGUUCUGUAAACUGUAUACACAACUGAUGCAUCAUGCGAGAACAUGUGCUGCUAGUAGCAGUGAAGUGAAGAAAGGUAGAAAGUAUGUAGGUGGGAAGAGAGGAUUUGUGGAGUGAGAUGGCAGUGCUUGAAGGAGAAGAAUGCAGUUAUGUUGCUCUAGAAGUUGCUGGUGAAAGUUGAAGUUUCUUCUGUGCACUCUCUUGUAUAAAAUAAACUUGCGCUUGCCCUCUCCAGGGCAUCAACUCCUAUGCCUCUUACUGUCCCCCCUGCAAAGCAAAACAAAAAGUUACUGUUUUCAUCACCCUCUACCAAAUAAAGAAAGUCAUUUUUAAUCAGACACUUUUAUUUGUAAUAAUUCAGAAUCUUAUUAUACCAUUAGGUCUUUUCAGUAGAAUGUGCAGAGAGGGAGUUUUGCAUAUUAUUCAGCUCUGUUGUGUCUGGGCUAAAGUGGUUAUCUAUUUAUUUUGUCUGUUAAAGAAAGGUAAAAUAUUGUGACGUUGCGCUAGGGAGGACACCCCCCCCCCUACCCCGAGGUGACGCAGCAGCGCCCCCUGCUUUGACGUGUCACUCAACGACACUGUUGACAUGGGCAACAAGCAACAGUGAACAGUAUAAAAAGCUGGCUGAGCAGUAUGCGAGUAAUUGGCAGUCAGCAGUUAGGAUUGUGUGAUCAGGAGUGACAGUUGGAUUGGAACAGUCGCUGAGUUCAGUUGUAGCGGAAAGAAGAAUACCAGAACAUGUGAUUAGAAGUGAGACUUUGCUAAGAGUAAGCUGUGUACAUUGACAGGUACAGUUCCAAGAAUUGUGAUAGAACUGUUAAGAGAUCCAUCCCAAUUUAGCCUACUCUCCUUAUAUUGAAAAAAUAAAAAUUAGUUUUAUGUC